GAUGAAGAACGUAGCGAAAUGCGAUACGUAAUGUGAAUUGCAGAAUUCAGUGAAUCAUCGAAUCUUUGAACGCAUAUUGCGCUCUCUGGUAUUCCGGAGAGCAUGCUUGUUUGAGUAUCAGUAAACACCUCAACUCCCUUUUCUUUUUUGAAAUUGGAGCUGUACUUGAGUGAUCCCAACGCUUUCUUCCAAGAAAGUGGCGGGUUGCUUGAAAUGCAGGUGCAGCUGAACUUUUCUCUGAGCUAUAAGCAUAUCUAUUUAGUCUGCCUAAAAAACAGAUUAUUACCUUUGCUGCAGCUAACAUAAAGGAGACUAGUUCUUGUGCUGACUGAUGCAGGAUUCACAGAGACAGCUUCGGCUGACUUUGUAAACUCGAUCUCAAAUCAAGUAAGACUACCCGCUGAACUUAAGCAUAUCAAUAAGCUGAGGA
rnacentral:misc_RNA from 1 species